GUGAGGAAUAUUGGUCAAUGGGCGAGAGCCUGAACCAGCCAAGUAGCGUGAAGGAUGACCGCCCUAUGGGUUGUAAACUUCUUUUAUAUGGGAAUAAAGGGUGCCACGUGUGGCAUUUUGUAUGUACCAUAUGAAUAAGGAUCGGCUAACUCCGUGCCAGCAGCCGCGGUAAUACGGAGGAUCCGAGCGUUAUCCGGAUUUAUUGGGUUUAAAGGGAGCGUAGGUGGACAUGUAAGUCAGUUGUGAAAGUUUGCGGCUCAACCGUAAAAUUGCAGUUGAAACUGCGUGUCUUGAGUACAGUAGAGGUGGGCGGAAUUCGUGGUGUAGCGGUGAAAUGCUUAGAUAUCACGAAGAACUCCGAUUGCGAAGGCAGCUCACUGGACUGCAACUGACACUGAUGCUCGAAAGUGUGGGUAUCAAACAGGAUUAGAAACCCGAGUAGUCC
rnacentral:rRNA from 1 species